rnacentral:rRNA from 1 species
UUAGCUAGUUGGUAAGGUAACGGCUUACCAAGGCGACGAUCAGUAGCCGACCUGAGAGGGUGAUCGGCCACAUUGGAACUGAGACACGGUCCAAACUCCUACGGGAGGCAGCAGUGGGGAAUAUUGCACAAUGGGCGAAAGCCUGAUGCAGCAACGCCGCGUGAGUGAUGAAGGCCUUCGGGUCGUAAAACUCUGUCCUCAAGGAAGAUAAUGACGGUACUUGAGGAGGAAGCCCCGGCUAACUACGUGCCAGCAGCCGCGGUAAUACGUAGGGGGCUAGCGUUAUCCGGAUUUACUGGGCGUAAAGGGUGCGUAGGCGGUCUUUCAAGUCAGGAGUGAAAGGCUACGGCUCAACCGUAGUAAGCUCUUGAAACUGGGAGACUUGAGUGCAGGAGAGGAGAGUGGAAUUCCUAGUGUAGCGGUGAAAUGCGUAGAUAUUAGGAGGAACACCAGUUGCGAAGGCGGCUCUCUGGACUGUAACUGACGCUGAGGCACGAAAGCGUGGGGAGCAAACAGGAUUAGAUACCCUGGUAGUCCACGCUGUAAACGAUGAGUAC